rnacentral:rRNA from 1 species
AUUGAACGCUGGCGGCAGGCUUAACACAUGCAAGUCGAGCGGGGAAAGGUAGCUUGCUACCUGACCUAGCGGCGGACGGGUGAGUAAUGCUUAGGAAUCUGCCUAUUAGUGGGGGACAACAUCUCGAAAGGGAUGCUAAUACCGCAUACGUCCUACGGGAGAAAGCAGGGGACCUUCGGGCCUUGCGCUAAUAGAUGAGCCUAAGUCGGAUUAGCUAGUUGGUGGGGUAAAGGCCUACCAAGGCGACGAUCUGUAGCGGGUCUGAGAGGAUGAUCCGCCACACUGGGACUGAGACACGGCCCAGACUCCUACGGGAGGCAGCAGUGGGGAAUAUUGGACAAUGGGGGGAACCCUGAUCCAGCCAUGCCGCGUGUGUGAAGAAGGCCUUUUGGUUGUAAAGCACUUUAAGCGAGGAGGAGGCUACCGAGAUUAAUACUCUUGGAUAGUGGACGUUACUCGCAGAAUAAGCACCGGCUAACUCGGUG